rnacentral:rRNA from 1 species
AUUGAACGCUGGCGGCAGGCCUAACACAUGCAAGUCGAGCGGCAGCGGGAAAGUAGCUUGCUACUUUUGCCGGCGAGCGGCGGACGGGUGAGUAAUGCCUGGGAAAUUGCCCUGUCGAGGGGGAUAACAGUUGGAAACGACUGCUAAUACCGCAUACGCCCUACGGGGGUAAGCAGGGGACCUUCGGGCCUUGCGCGGUUGGAUAUGCCCAGGUGGGGUUUGCUAGUUGGUGAGGUAAUGGCUCACCAAGGCGACGAUCCCUAGCUGGUCGGAGAGGAUGGUCAGCCACACGGGAGCUGAGACACGGUCCAGACUCCUACGGGAGGCAGCAGUGGGGAAUAUUGCACAAUGGGGGAAACCCUGAUGCAGCCAGGCCGCGUGUGUGAAGAAGGCCUUCGGGUUGUAAAGAACUUUCAGCGAGGAGGAAAGGUCAGUAGCUAAGAUCUGCUGGCUGUGACGUUACUCGCAGAAGAAGCACCGGCUAACUCCGUG